UAUCGCUGUGAAUGUGACCAUUGGUGUUCGUUGAGACAUUACCUAGUCAAUGAUGAACAACAAACUUGUACUCGCAAUCCUCUUGGUGACCGUAGGUCUGAUGUGCCUUGGUGUACCCCCAGUAAGCGGUCAGUUUGGAUCUGGAUGUCGGUGCAGUCAAACCUGGCAGUGUAGUCCUGGUGAGAGGCGCAGUGGACAGUGUGAUUACCAGCCAGGGCUGAAGUGCUGUCCACUUUACCGCGGCUAAUAACACGACAAAGACAGAUGAUCGAUUCCUUACUAAAGGUACGAUUUGAUAAAAGAAGCCUCAACAUGGAAACAAAAAUACAUAUUUUAAUUUUGGUUUGUCAUGACAUUUUAAACUAUUAAAAUUCUCCAACCUGCCUUAUA